AUGCCCUUGAAUCCCCACCACGCCGCUGCGUUGCGCGACAGACGGGGCGCGGGGGGGGGGCGGAUGCGGAGAACGGCACGGGUCCCGCGUGGGUCCGCAUCGGCGCCUGCCGAGGCCCCGGGCGGCUCGGGGCCCGGGUCGCCGUUCCGGCGCUGCCUCCCCUCCCCCAGCCCCCCAAGAGCGCAUUGUUACACUCGGCGGCCUCGGUUCAGGGCAGAGACCCCGGCGCCCGCGCCUCGGGGGCUCCCUGGAGGCGGGCACGGCUCGGGCCGCGCUCCGGCCCCGGCCCCGGCCCCCGGCGUGGAUUGGGGGCGGACCGAGAGCCCAAGAAGGGAAACCGCUCGCUGGGAAAACAGGCGCCCAGGAAGCUGGGGCCGCCGCGGCCUCGGGCCUGCCUGGUGUUUCGCUUCCCCUCCGCCCCUCCGCGGCGGGCCCUGGCGACCAAGUCUCCAAAUGUCACCCCCGCGUCCUGCCACCCCGUCGCCCCCGCUCGACGCCGCCGCCCGGCGCCCGGCCCCCGCGUCCUCCCCCCCCCCGGGUCCCCUGCCUCCCGGGAGCGGGUCAUGCCCUCGGCCGGCGCGCCGCCGUCCGGGGACGCGGGACUCGCGUGGCCGGAGCCCCCACCGUGACGUCACCCCUGAAAGGCCCGCGCGCCCGGGGCCUGGCCGCGUCCGGGCUCCCCGGCCUCCGGGGCCUCUUCCUGCCGGGUCGCGCGGCCUGCGCACAGGCCGCGGGCGCCGCUGCCCAUUUGGGGGUCCGGCCGAGAGCCCCGCGCGCCGCACCUCCCGGCACGGCCCUCGAGGCGCGGGCUCCCACGCCGUGGCCCCGCCAGGCCCCGAGUCCCCCCCGGAGAAGUCGGCUCCCCGCCCCCCCCCCGACGCACUCACAAAGCUCGCCUCCGGCCCCCGCGCCGUGCGAAUGCCCGGUCCCCACCCCGCGCUCGGCAGACCCCCCGCGCCACCGUGCGCGCACUGCCCCCGCACGCCCGACCCUCGCUCCUCGCGCCCCACGCCACGCACCGGCCCCGGCCCGCGGCGCGGGGCGCCCCCACCCGCAGCUCCCGGGACGGCCCUCCGGUGA
rnacentral:lncRNA from 1 species